rnacentral:rRNA from 1 species
UACGUAGGUGGCAAGCGUUGUCCGGAUUUACUGGGCGUAAAGAGCGCGCAGGCGGUCGUUCAAGUCGCGUGUGAAAGCCCCCCGGCUCAACUGGGGAGGGUCACGCGAUACUGAUCGACUCGAAGGCAGGAGAGGGUAGUGGAAUUCCCGGUGUAGUGGUGAAAUGCGUAGAUAUCGGGAGGAACACCAGUGGCGAAGGCGACUACCUGGCCUGUUUCUUGACGCUGAGGCGCGAAAGCUAGGGGAGCAAACGGA